AGGAAGUGGACGGACUGGAUGGUGCAACAGAGUCAAUAAAUCCAUUUCUGUCUGAGAUGCACCAGGUCUCUUGUUUCCUCAAAGCACCUCUGACCCAGCCUGCGAAACGUGAGAGCGGAGCCGCUGAGCGUGAGGUCAGCGCCAUCAUUUACAUCCUAAACACAUGACAGGCUGUCAGGCAGAGGUCAAAGCAGGUCAAGUUCACAUCCUAAUACAAUGUGAGCAGGGCAAUCUCUUUACACACGCAAAAACAAAUAGCUGCUCGCAUCUACACGUGCAGGCCGUAGAUGCAGCGGAAAUGUGGUAAUUGUGCAGGAAGAGCCACCUUAGUUAAAGUUAUUGCAUAUUUUUGUGUAUUUUUCUUCUCUUUUGUUUGUAAAAAUUUACUCUUUAUCAAGCAUUCACAUAAAAAGUUCCACACUGUGCAGCCAAACGUUAUAAAACAGAUUCUCAGGUUGUCCUUGUCUUCCUUUGAUCCCUUAUGAAAAGGCUAGACAGUCAUGCUGCAGUGAUCAGUCAGGGUCAAAGUCAUACUCCACUUUCCCCUCCCUCCCUCAUCCCAUGUCGUCUCCACUGUAGUUUUGUAGCUCUGGCAGCUGGUGGUG
ensembl:lncRNA